rnacentral:rRNA from 1 species
AUUGAACGCUGGCGGAAUGCUUUACACAUGCAAGUCGAACGGCAGCACGGGGGCAACCCUGGUGGCGAGUAGCGAACGGGUGAGUAAUACAUCGGAACGUGCCCAGUCGUGGGGGAUAACGUAGCGAAAGUUACGCUAAUACCGCAUACGAUCUACGGAUGAGAGCGGGGGACCGUAAGGCCUCGCGCGAUUGGAGCGGCCGAUGUCAGAUUAGGUAGCUGGUGAGGUAAAGGCUCACCAAGCCGACGAUCUGUAGCUGGUCUGAGAGGACGACCAGCCACACUGGGACUGAGACACGGCCCAGACUCCUACGGGAGGCAGCAGUGGGGAAUUUUGGACAAUGGGCGCAAGCCUGAUCCAGCCAUUCCGCGUGCAGGACGAAGGCCUUCGGGUUGUAAACUGCUUUUGUACGGAACGAGAAGGCUCUGGUUAAUACCUGGGGCUCAUGACGGUACCGUAAGAAUAAGCACCGGCUAACUACGUGCCAGCCGCCGCCGUAA